UAGGAAUGAGUGUUUAUUUGCUCAGUAGA
rnacentral:piRNA from 1 species